rnacentral:ncRNA from 1 species
UGAUAGCGUAGAAACGUGAGGUUGCUAUAUAAGAUUUUGAUGAAAUCAAAGUCUUACAUAUAGGUUUUCCGUGGAGCGAAUGUCAAGUUAUGAAACUGGCGACAA